GAUGAACGCUAGCUACAGGCUUAACACAUGCAAGUCGAGGGGCAGCACAGUGUAGCAAUACAUGGGUGGCGACCGGCGCACGGGUGCGUAACGCGUAUCCAACCUUCCCGAUACUCAGGGAUAGCCUUCCGAAAGGGAGAUUAAUACCUGAUGGUGUUUUAAUUCCGCAUGUUAAUGAAACUAAAGAUUUAUCGGUAUCGGAUGGGGAUGCGUGACAUUAGAUAGUAGGCGGGGUAACGGCCCACCUAGUCUACGAUGUCUAGGGGUUCUGAGAGGAAGGUCCCCCACACUGGAACUGAGACACGGUCCAGACUCCUACGGGAGGCAGCAGUGAGGAAUAUUGGUCAAUGGGCGCAAGCCUGAACCAGCCAAGUAGCGUGAAGGAUGACUGCCCUAUGGGUUGUAAAACUUCUUUUAUACGCGAACAACCGCAGGUACGUGUACCUGUCUGCGUGUAGCGUAUGAAUAAGCAUCGGCUAAACUCCGUGCCAGCAGCCG
rnacentral:rRNA from 1 species